GAUGAUUGUAUUGUUAUUUAAUCUUGUAGGUAUAACUUUUUUAACGUAGUAAUGAAAAUGUUUUUUUUAGUUUUAACCAUUCGGAAAAAUAUGUUCUGUAAUGAAUUUAAGUGUGUUUUCAAGUAAUGUUAAAACUAGUCACAAAUUUAAGUGAACUCGUGCUGUGUCACUAGCAUUUUGUCAAGGUAUUAUUUAAUUACAUUUAAAUGUGUGUCAAGGUUGCAUCGUUUAAUUACAUUGCAAUGUGUGUCAAGGUUGCAACGACUCGUGUCUUCGUUUACGCGUCUGGUUAGCAGUGCAGUGAUUGCAUGUUAAUUCUUAUAAAUGAUAUCAACUAGGAUUAGCAGCUAUGGGGAACUUGAAUAGCUUCCAAACUAACACGGCUUGAAGUUGAGUUUUAUUUAUAAACAAUAACCUACCUCCCAGCGCAUGUCCAUUAAACAAAACUUUUGAAUUACAACACUAAGGAAAAAAAGCCAUAAAAUAUCCCUGAAAUUGUGUAUCCACUGGCAUGACCCAAAGUUUAUUCUGCAGUGUAGCUGCUUCUGGAAGAUAGGCACAAUUUAAAUAAUGUGAAAAGAGUGUCAAGCCUAGUUCACACAGCUAUCUUUCUUGAACAAGAAGGUGAACACCUCUUUGUUCAAGUCGACUUGCUACGUGUGACUGGCCAGUUUGUGUGCUAGUCGCAUGCAUGCAAGUACUUGCAUGCUAGCUAGAAUCAUUUAGAGACAAUUCUACUUUUCGUUCACCUUUUCAUGCAAGUCGUUUGUUUACAUCUGUGCUGUACACACCGAGAUAUUGAGUUGAAUGCUGGUUUUGUUUGCAAAGUUAUUUGUUUUGUGUUUUAAAUAUGAGCGACUGGAGUCGGGAAGCAGUAGAAAUGUUAAUAGAGUCGUACAGAAAGCAUGAGGUUCUGUAUAACAUUAAACUAGCAGCCUAUCAAAACAAAUAUCACUGUAAGAAUGUGCUUGAAGAAGUUACGAAUUAUGUGAAAUGUGUACGACCAAGUAUAACACCAGAAGAAGUAACGAAAAAGAUGAUAUCAUUACGAACUCAUUUUGCACAAGAAUUACAAAAGAAACGCAAUAGGAAAAGUGGAGCUGGAACAGACAGUUUGUAUGUUCCUUUUGUGUGGUGGUUUCCACUAAUGAAUUUUUUACAAGUUCACAUGCAGUGCAGAAAAGAAGAAAAUUCACUACCGUCAUCUUGGGCUAGUCAAGAAAUAAAUUUAGGAACUCCUGUGGUAGUAGAGAGGGACAUUUCGAGCCUGUUGCAAUCACUGCUCUUGAACUACGAACACUUUGUCGAAGACCUACCAGAAGUUGUACAAGAAGAAGUGGUUGAAAUGGAUGGACUAUCGGCUUCAGGAAUUAUGUGUCAGGCAAAUAAUGCAUCACCGAGUGCUUCUCUGUUGGUGUCAAGUGAAAGUUAUCAAGGGUCAAGAAAGAAAAAAAACACAGAACAAAUGAAACUGAACCAUUAUUAGAGAGAGCUCAGGGAAUUUUAGAAUCGGUAUCCUCAAGGUUAGGUACUAUUAGUGCAGAAAAAUCUGGCGAUUCGACAAAUGACUUCGGUAAAUAUUUGGCUUCGGAACUUUCUAAAAUUAAAAGCGAAAAAGUUGCUUUGCUUACAAAAUAGAAAUUGACUUUUAAUGGAAGCACGUAUGCAUGAUUUAUAUGAAACUUAAUGAAUUAUGUUAAAAAAUUUUCAUGUUAAUUAAUUGUAAUGUCAAUUUAGAACAGUAUCAAUUGAGUUCAGAUUGUUUAGUAUGAGGUAACUGCAAUCAAUAAAAUACACACAAACACAAGUUCUUUUCACUAUUUUUUCAUACAAGUUAUGAUCUAUAAUUAAAACUGUCAGUAUCUAUCCUUUGCUUUAAAUCAUUUUUAUGCGUACAUAUUUAAACAUGUUAUUGAAAUAAUUUUAAAUAAAGACACUGGAACAUGAUUUUCUAUUUGCUUCACCGGACAGUACAAUUAUUUAGGCAAAGAAACCUAAACUUAUUUGCAUUUAUGAAGAAAAUUCACAGACAAGUCAAUGAGAUAAGCUACUAAGUAAUGGUAGUUAAUUUCCAUAAAGUUUAAUUAAUGUAGGAAAAAUGCACACCCAAUCUAACACAAUUAAAACACAAAUUUGGUUUAUCUUAGGCAAUUAGGUAACAAUGAUUAUUUACAUGUUGCCAUUUCAUUUGAAACGGGGGAGAUUCAGGCAGGUAACAAUUCUUCUUGCACCAAAACAUCAUUAAAAAUUAAAAUUGUGUGUGCUAUUCCAUUGCCAUGGUACUGCACCUUCAUUAUUAAAGUAAUGACACAAAGUAUCUCUGAUUUGUAUGCAUUGUUGCUAGCUCUAUUGGCUCUGUGUAUGGCAACAGAUUUCAAAUACUGUUCUUUAAUGGAAACCCCACCAGUGAAAGUACUCCCAUCAGUGUCCUCAGUAUUUACCCCAUGUAAGUAAGGUCCCAUGUUUUCUUUAAUUAAGAAAUUGUGCAGAGCACAAGUAGCUAGUGUAAUACUUUGCACUUUUUCUACAGGAAGAUUUAUUUUGGUCAUUAGCACUCGAAAUCUGUUUGCAAGAAUACCGAAGGCAUUUUCGACAGUCUUUCUCGCCCUACUUAAGCGGUAAUUAAAUACCUUUUUAUCAUUGGAAGCACCUUUGGAACUGUAGGGUUACAUUAUAUGUUCGUGCAAUGCAAAAGCAUCAUCGGCAACAAGCACAUAUGGCACUUCAGUGGUCGUACUUGGUAAAUUGUGCUGUGAAGGUAAAUUUAGUGACUCGUUGAUUAACGAACUCAGAACACUAUUUCUAUACACACCCCCAUCACUAAUACGACCAUUGCACCCUACAUCAAAAAACAAAAA